AUGGCAGUAGCUCAGUGGCAGAGCUCCCCCGCUUCGUGCACGGGAAGACCUGGGUUCGAUUCCCAGCUGCUUUC
rnacentral:tRNA from 1 species